rnacentral:rRNA from 1 species
GAUGAACGCUGGCGGCGUGCCUAAUACAUGCAAGUCGAGCGAACAGACGAGGAGCUUGCUCCUCUGAUGUUAGCGGCGGAUGGGUGAGUAACACGUGGAUAACCUACCUAUAAGACUGGGAUAACUUCGGGAAACCGGAGCUAAUACCGGAUAACAUGUUGAACCGCAUGGUUCAACAGUGAAAGACGGUCUUGCUGUCACUUAUAGAUGGAUCCGCGCCGCAUUAGCUAGUUGGUAAGGUAACGGCUUACCAAGGCAACGAUGCGUAGCCGACCUGAGAGGGUGAUCGGCCACACUGGAACUGAGACACGGUCCAGACUCCUACGGGAGGCAGCAGUAGGGAAUCUUCCGCAAUGGGCGAAAGCCUGACGGAGCAACGCCGCGUGAGUGAAGAAGGUCUUCGGAUCGUAAAACUCUGUUAUUAGGGAAGAACAAAUGUGUAAGUAACUAUGCACGUCUUGACGGUACCUAAUCAGAAAGCCACGGCUAACUACGUG